CAUAAGCUGGCGGCGGGGGGCGAGCGGCGGGUGCGUGAGUGCGAGUGUGAGUGAAAAGGGUGCGUGCGAGCGUGCGUGUGCAAGGGGUGCGUGUGUGUGUGUGCAAGGGGCGUGCGAGGCCGCGGUGCCCCCCGCUCACAGCCCUACACGUUGAUCUUAUUCGAUCGGCCCCGGCCGAGAUGAGAAGAGCAGCGCCGCGAAGCCCCGUUCCCAUCCCGGGGCGCUGUGCGGCGGCGGCGCGGGCGGGAUGAGUCGAUCAGAUAGGCGAGGCGCCGAGCCGCUGAGCUGCUGCGAGUCUGACCCGC